UUUGGUCUUCUCCUCAGUAACCAGAGAAUCUUGUGAUCAAGUCCUUGUAGCCCUUGAACUGAUCCAGACCUAUUAUAUGCUUCCCAAAAUUUUCUUUAAUUUUUACUGAAUUCUGUUUCCUGACAUUGACCUUCAUUUGCUCUGUUUGUUCAAAACCUAAUUUAGACUGUUUAAGCAAUAACAAUCGAGGCUUUGGGCAAUUUCAGGGGAUUAAUGACUGAUCAAGAGGGUUGAUGGCCUGAGGCAAGGACUCAGGGCUAUUAACUUCAUCUACAGAAAAUGUAUCAGGAAAUGUUUUAGACUGAAGCUGUUGGCAGUCUGCAACUGUGCCUGAAUUGAGGGAGGGUCACUCUGUGGCAGAAACAAUUGCCUAUAAAGUCUGAAUGGGUUUAUUAAAAGAUACUAUUACAAUUUUGCUUUAUAGCAGCUCUAAAAGGCCUGAACUAAAAUGGGAAUAAGACAGGAAAGUGAAAAAUCUUGUUCUUCAGUGUGCUGUGUAAAAACAAGAAUGAUGACGUUUCAUCUGUUCUAGUGAGGAAUGAGCCCCUUAUGUUUGGGAACUUGGCAGGAAAAGAAGAAAUCUGCAGCUUAACUUGAUUCCAAGUGGGAACUGAGGCUACUUUUACUUCUUGCUUCUUUUUUCCCCUGUAAUAAGACCUGCUGACACAUCAUAAAAAGAUGGCAGGAAGAUUUAAAUAAACAAGCCAAGCAAAAACCA
rnacentral:lncRNA from 1 species